rnacentral:rRNA from 1 species
GGGGGGGGGGGGGGGGGGGGGGGGCGGGUGCAGGGGGGACGGGGGCGCAGUGGGGGCGGGCUCUGACGGGUGGCGAGUGGCGGGGGGGGGAGGAAUCCAUCGGAAUCUACUUUUUCGUGGGGGAUAACGGAGGGGAACUUACGCUAAUACCGCAUACGGCCUACGGGUGGAAGCAGGGGAGCUUCGGACCUUGCUCGAAUGAAUGAGCCGCUGUCGGAUUAGCUAGUUGGCGGGGUAAAGGCCCACCAAGGCGACGAUCCGUAGCUGGUCUGAGAGGAUGAUCAGCCACACUGGAACUGAGACACGGUCCAGACUCCUACGGGAGGCAGCAGUGGGGAAUAUUGGACAAUGGGCGCAAGCCUGAUCCAGCCAUACCGCGUGGGUGAAGAAGGCCUUCGGGUUGUAAAGCCCUUUUGUUGGGAAAGAAAAGCAGCAGGUUAAUACCCCGCUGUUCUGACGGUACCCAAAGAAUAAGCACCGGCUAACUUCGUG